AAGACCUUGCGCUUUUGGAGCGGCCGAUGCCUGAUUAGCUUGUUGGUAAGGUAAAAGCUUACCAAGGCUUCGAUCAGUAGCUGGUCUGAAAGGACGACCAGCCACACUGGGACUGAGACACGGCCCAGACUCCUACGGGAGGCAGCAGUGGGGAAUUUUGGACAAUGGGGGCAACCCUGAUCCAGCCAUGCCGCGUGAGUGAAGAAGGCCUUCGGGUUGUAAAGCUCUUUCAGCCGGAACGAAACGGUUACGGUUAAUACCCAUGACUACUGACGGUACCGGAAGAAGAAGCACCGGCUAACUACGUGCCAGCAGCCGCGGUAAUACGUAGGGUGCGAGCGUUAAUCGGAAUUACUGGGCGUAAAGCGUGCGCAGGUGGUUUUGUAAGUCAGAUGUGAAAGCCCCGGGCUCAACCUGGGAACU
rnacentral:rRNA from 1 species